GAGUUUGAUCCUGGCUCAGAACGAACGCUGGCGGCAUGCCUAACACAUGCAAGUCGAACGGGAUCCUGGCUUCGGCCAGGUGAGAGUGGCGGACGGGUGAGUAACGCGUGGGAACCUGCCCAGUGGUGUGGGAUAACUGCGGGAAACUGCAGCUAAUACCGCAUGAGCCCGAGAGGGGAAAGAUUUAUCGCCAUUGGAGGGGCCCGCGUUCGAUUAGGUAGUUGGUGAGGUAACGGCUCACCAAGCCUAUGAUCGAUAGCCGGUCUGAGAGGAUGAUCAGCCACACUGGGACUGAGAUACGGCCCAGACUCCUACGGGAGGCAGCAGUGGGGAAUAUUGGACAAUGGGGGCAACCCUGAUCCAGCAAUGCCGCGUGAGUGAUGAAGGCCUUC
rnacentral:rRNA from 1 species